UACAGAGGGGGCAAGCGUUGUUCGGAAUUACUGGGCGUAAAGCGCACGUAGGCGGCUUUCUAAGUCGGGGGUGAAAUCCUGGAGCUCAACUCCAGAACUGCCUUCGAUACUGGAAAGCUCGAGUCCGGGAGAGGUGAGUGGAACUGCGAGUGUAGAGGUGAAAUUCGUAGAUAUUCGCAAGAACACCAGUGGCGAAGGCGGCUCACUGGCCCGGUACUGACGCUGAGGUGCGAAAGCGUGGGGAGCAAACAGG
rnacentral:rRNA from 1 species